UACGUAGGGUGCGAGCGUUGUCCGGAAUUAUUGGGCGUAAAGAGCUCGUAGGCGGUCUGUCGCGUCUGCUGUGAAAACCCGAGGCUCAACCUCGGGCCUGCAGUGGGUACGGGCAGACUAGAGUGCGGUAGGGGAGAUUGGAAUUCCUGGUGUAGCGGUGGAAUGCGCAGAUAUCAGGAGGAACACCGGUGGCGAAGGCGGGUCUCUGGGCCGAUACUGACGCUGAGGAGCGAAAGCGUGGGGAGCGAACAGG
rnacentral:rRNA from 1 species